rnacentral:rRNA from 1 species
CAUGCAGUCGANGCACUCUUCGGAGUGAGUGGCAGANGGGUGAGUAACGCNNNNNNNNNUGCCCUUUGGUUCGGAAUAGCCCUGGGAAACUGGNUGUAAUACCGAAUGUGCCCUUCGGGGGAAAGAUUUAUCGCCAAAGGAUCGGCCCGCGUUAGAUUAGCUAGUUGGUGAGGUAAAAGCUCACCAAGGCUACGAUCUAUAGCUGGUCUGAGAGGAUGAUCAGCCACACUGGGACUGAGACACGGCCCAGACUCCUACGGGAGGCAGCAGUGAGGAAUCUUGGACAAUGGGCGAAAGCCUGAUCCAGCCAUGCCGCGUGAAUGAUGAAGGCCUUAGGGUUGUAAAAUUCUUUCAGCAGGGAAGAUAAUGACGGUACCUGCAGAAGAAGCCCCGGCUAACUCCGUGCCAGCAGCCGCGGUAAUACGGAGGGGGCUAGCGUUGUUCGGAAUUACUGGGCGUAAAGCGCGCGUAGGCGGAUUGGUCAGUCAGAGGUGAAAGCCCGGAGCUCAACUCCGGAAUUGCCUUUGAUACUGCCAGUCUUGAGUUCGGGAGAGGUUAGCGGAAUUCCGAGUGUAGAGGUGAAAUUCGUAGAUNUUCGGAGGAACACCAGAGGCGAAGGCGGCUAACUGGACCGAUNCUGACGCUGANGCGCGAAAGCGUGGGNGCAAACAGGAUUANAUACCCUGGNAGNCCAC